CAGACUUCACACGCCCUGGGCACACACCCAUGGGGUAAGCCGUGUGUCACACACAGCCUAGACACAUGUUUGUGUGUCUACCCGUGUAGACAAAAAUAAGGCUAUUUACCAAGCCAUUUGUCACCCUUGCUUGCACCAUCCUACACAACAACAAGCAACACUAAUCCAAGCAUAUACAUACAACUAAUUCAACUAAUUCAACCACAACCAAG
rnacentral:lncRNA from 1 species